rnacentral:rRNA from 1 species
AUUGAACGCUGGCGGCAUGCUUUACACAUGCAAGUCGAACGGCAGCGCGGGCUUCGGCCUGGCGGCGAGUGGCGAACGGGUGAGUAAUACAUCGGAACGUGCCCAGUAGUGGGGGAUAGCUCGGUGAAAGCCGGAUUAAUACCGCAUACGACCUGAGGGUGAAAGCGGGGGAUCUUCGGACCUCGCGCUAUUGGAGCGGCCGAUGGCAGAUUAGCUAGUUGGUGGGGUAAAGGCCUACCAAGGCGACGAUCUGUAGCUGGUCUGAGAGGACGACCAGCCACACUGGGACUGAGACACGGCCCAGACUCCUACGGGAGGCAGCAGUGGGGAAUUUUGGACAAUGGGCGAAGGCCUGAUCCAGCAAUGCCGCGUGUGUGAUGAAGGCCUUCGGGUUGUAAAGCACUUUUGGCGGGAACGAAAAGGACUGUGCCAAUACCACGGUUCGAUGACGGUACCCGCAGAAUAAGCACCGGCUAACUACGUG